rnacentral:rRNA from 1 species
CGGAGGAAAAGAAACCAACAGGGAUUGCCUCAGUAACGGCGAGUGAAGCGGCAAAAGCUCAAAUUUUAAAGCUGGCAUCUUCGGUGUCCGCGUUGUAAUUUUGUGAGGCAUCUCCGGGUAGGGCGCCGGCCUAAGUUCCUUGGAACAGGACGUCACAGAGGGUGAGAAUCCCGUGCUUGGCUGGCUGUCCCCGUCCAUGUGAGGUGUCUUCGACGAGUCGAGUUGUUUGGGAAUGCAGCUCAAAAUGGGUGGUAAAUUUCAUCUAAAGCUAAAUAUUGGUGGGAGACCGAUAGCGCACAAGUAGAGUGAUCGAAAGAUGAAAAGCACUUUGAAAAUAGAGUUAAAAAGUACGUGAAAUUGUUGAAAGGGAAGCGCUUGAGACCAGACUUCGGUAGGGGGUGAUCAGCCGUCCUUCUGGGCGGUGCACUUGCCCCCCUCCGGGCCAGCAUCGGUUGAGGCGGCGGGAUAAAGGUCCCGGGAAUGUGGCUCCUUCACGGGAGUGUUAUAGCCCGGGUGAAUGCCGCCAGUCUCGACCGAGGACCGCACCCGCAAGGGUUAGGAUGCUUGGCAUAAUGGUCUUCAGCGACCCGUCU